GUUGCGUAUGUGCCAGAGCUCAUUCACCGCGAUGGGAGCCCUCCUCCUUCCCUCAGCCAUUCCCGCUUCAAGGAGGCUUUCCCCGUCUCCUCCUGCAGUCAUGGGGGGUUUAAUUCAGCUGCGUGCCUUUGCACGAGAGGUGAGAGGUGUGCAAUCCGAACUCCCGGAGGACUGUCGUACCACAGUUCGGCACCUGACAUCUCUGGUGAUGUUGCGUAUCCAAUGCCUUCACCGGGAGCCGUCCCUCCCUCCUCUCCGUUUCAUUCCGCCCUGAGGCAAUGCGGAGAAUCACAGAAUCACAAGGAAGUGCUUGGUCAUCGUGCUCUCCUCGCUUAGGCUGGGGGAUAAGACAGCAAGAUUGCAGCCUGUAUGAUAGAAUUGAGCCUUCAUCAGCUAUGCAGUGUGCUGGUACGCGCGCUGUUAACAGGCAAGGCUGCUAUACGGGAACAAAAAAUAUUGUUUGACUGGGCUGAAUAACUGACAGUAGUGCGAAUUGCAAAGGGACGACAUCAACACAGAUUGAAUAUUCAGCGUGAAUGCUGACAUUUCUUGAACUAUGCAUAAUAGCUGGGAAGAACAAGCACAUUUCCGGAGACUUGUUGGGAGAAAUCCAUAAGAAGUAUUAGACUAUGACCAGCUUGCUUACCCAUCUGCCUGGCAGGCUGUCUGUCCUGCCAAACACUGUGGCUGCCUCCGUGCCAGGGACAGCAGCACUACCAGGGCUGCGGCUGUGUGGCAGGAGGCCAGAGGGACUGCCUCUCCAGUACCACCCCAAGAGCCCCCAAAGGAUGAUGUGAUGUGCUGUACUGCACAGACAGCUUCCAGGCAAGCUGCUCGGUCAAAGAGCUUUCAAAUCCAGAAAUGUCUUACCUUGUGCCAGCUUUUGUA
ensembl:lncRNA